UACGUAGGGGGCAAGCGUUGUCCGGAAUCAUUGGGUGUAAGAAGCGUGUAGGCGGCUUGGUAAGUCCGCUGUGAAAGUCCAGGGCUCAACCCUGGAAUGCCGGUGGAAACUGUCAAGCUUGAGUCCGGAAGAGGCGAGUGGAAUUCCUGGUGUAGCGGUGAAAUGCGCAGAGUAUCAGGAGGAACACCAAUGGCGAAGGCAGCUCGCUGGGACGGUACUGACGCUGAGACGCGAAAGCGUGGGGAGCAAACGGAUAGAU
rnacentral:rRNA from 1 species